rnacentral:rRNA from 1 species
UUGACGGUACCCUACUAGAAAGGAGCCGCUAACUUCGUGCCAGAAGCGUCGGUAAUACGGGGGCUCCAAGCGUUAUCCGGUGUUAUUGGGCGUAAAGAGUCGUGUAGGUGGUUGGGUAAGUUAUCUUUCAAAUAUCUUUGCUUAACAAAGAGGAGGGGGAUAAUACUGCUCGACUAGAAUUUUCUCAAGGGAGAUCGGAACUGAGGGAGGAGUAGUGAAAUGCGUUGAUACCCUCGGGAACACCAGUGGCGUAGGCGGAUCUCUGGGACAAGAUUGACACUGAGACACGAAAAGCUAGGGGAGCGAAGCCGAUUAGAGACCUGCGUAGUCCUAGCCGUAAACGCAUGCUUGCUAAGCUGCAUGAAUCUACCUUCGGGUGGAAUCGGGUGCCGAAGGUAACCCGUUAAGCAAGCCGCCUGGAAAGUACGGGCCGAAAGGCUGAAAUUCAAAGGAAUUGUCGGGGAGGCACACAACCAGUGGAACAUGUGGUGUAAUUCGAGACUAACCGAAGAACCUCACCAGGGUUUGACAUGUAGCUGCACGUCUUAAGAAAUUAAGACUCUCUUGAAGGUGCUACACAGGUGCUGCAUGGCUGUCGUCAGCUCGUUCCGUGAGGAGUGCCCUUAAGUGGGACAACGAGCGCAACCCCUAUUACAUGUUAGAAAUGUCGUGUAAGACUGCCUUGCCAUUUGGCGGGGAGGAAGGAGGGGCAGACGUCAAGUCCGCAUGGUCCUUAUGCCCUGGGCUACACACAUGUUACAAUGAGUACGGCAAUGAGUCUGUCGCGAGCACGUAAGUGUAAGCUAAUCUCUUAAAUGUACUCUCAGUGGGGAUCGAGGUCUGCAACUCGACCUCAUGAACACGGAAUUGGUAGUAAUCGCGGAUCAGCUAUACCGCGGUGAUACGUUCUUGCCUCUUGCACACACCGCCCGUCAAACCAGCAA